UAUAUGAGUAAGUGAAAUUACUCAGAAUAAUGAUCUUAAUAACAUAUGUCAGAAUUAAUGAAACCAUUAAGAAAGGUACCUCAUCUUUGAUUCUGAUAAUUUUGAAAUAUGUUAUAGAUAUCAAUAUUUUGAACUACUAUUUCUUAUACACAUAACCAGCGGUCGACCUUAGCAUUUGAGAUAUUCUAAAAAAAACUGCUGAUAUCACUACAGUGUGUUUCAGUCUAUAGUUGUAAAUCUGUGCCAACGUGUGCGUCAGUAUUGAUUACUAGGUAUUUAUCUUCUGUUCAUAAACGGGUAUUUAUAAAUAUGUACAGUUGUAUGAAACCCAAACCCAAUUAAUGUACAUUAAUGGUAUUCAUUUUUAAUUGAGUUGUAACAAACAUUUCUUACAGCCUUGUAUAUGCAAUUGUGCACGGGACCUAUAAAUAAAUAACUAAUAGCAGUUGGUGACCAGCAAUAUUCACACAUACGUUAUAGAAUGUACUAUAUACAAAAUAAUUCAAUGUGCUCUAAAAAGAACCGGCAAUUUUUCGCGAAUAUCUCGGAAACUAAGCGAGCUCAGCUCUUAGUGUACAGAAAAGAAUUAAUCAAAAUAUUGAGUUUUACAACAUAUUCAAAAAUCAUCGAAAUCACCCUAAUUAAUUAAUAUGUUGCUAUAAUAAAUACACUGAUAUGCCAAUACUUUUUGUAUACAUUGUAGAUAUAUAUAUAUAUAUAUAUUACUGAAAGCGAUACAUUGCAAGUUAUAGCUAAGUGCACGCGUACUCGACGAAUUUUCGACAUCGAUUUACUCAGAAUUAAAAUCUUGUCUGAAAAAUGAUUAUUAUAUAUUUUGUUUCUAUUUUAUCAUAUCAAGCCUUCUUAGAUUGUACUAUCUAUGAUUAUACCGUUCGAUUAUACCUUGUACUUAUAUAAAUUUCACACAUUUCACACAUUUAUAUAGUAGAUAUGUUAGUAGUAAAUUAUUUAAUAUUGAACAGGGAAUCUCCAUAUCUAAAUCUCCUUGCUGUUAUAUGUUAUGCACUAAAAUAUUUGUGAUAAAUAAUGCUCAUGCAUUCCUAUAUAAACAUUUCACGCUAUAUGAAA